rnacentral:rRNA from 1 species
AACGAACGCUGGCGGCAUGCCUAACACAUGCAAGUCGAACGAGACCUUCGGGUCUAGUGGCGCACGGGUGCGUAACGCGUGGGAACCUGCCCUUAGGUUCGGAAUAACUCCCCGAAAGGGGUGCUAAUACCGAUAAUGUCUUCGGACCAAAGAUUUAUCGCCUUUGGAUGGGCCCGCGUUGGAUUAGCUAGUUGGUAGGGUAAAAGCCUACCAAGGCGACGAUCCAUAGCUGGUCUGAGAGGAUGAUCAGCCACACUGGGACUGAGACACGGCCCAGACUCCUACGGGAGGCAGCAGUGGGGAAUAUUGGACAAUGGGCGAAAGCCUGAUCCAGCAAUGCCGCGUGAGUGAUGAAGGCCUUAGGGUUGUAAAGCUCUUUUACCCGGGAUGAUAAUGACAGUACCGGGAGAAUAAGCUCCGGCUAACUCCGUG